AAGUCGUAACAAGGUUUCCGUAGGUGAACCUGCGGAAGGAUCAUUAACAAAUCUGUGCUGUUGCGUGCAUGCACGUGACACGUUUGUUCCGUGUGCGUCUGCACAUUGACACAUUUCUGCGAGUCGUCUGAUUGUCUGCUUUAAUUAUGAUCAACUUUUAACAAUGGAUCUCUAGGCUCUU
rnacentral:misc_RNA from 1 species